CAACCCUCAAGCCCCGCUUGGUGUUGGGGUCCUACGGCUGCCGUAGGCCCUGAAAGUUAGUGGCGGGCUCGCUAUAACUCCGAGCGUAGUAGUAACAUAUCUCGCUAGGGAGGUGUCGCGGGUUCCGGCCGUGAAAGCCCCAUCUUUUUUACACAA
rnacentral:misc_RNA from 1 species